CUGGCCAAUUUUUCACACUUGAGAGGGAGAUCUGAACCCAGGGUGCCCACGUAACUGCGCAGAGGCAAGCUUCCUUGCGUACUGCUUAAGCGUAAAAAGCUUAUAAGAUCAUGAUAAAACUAGCAGCCAAGGAGACAGCAGAUCUGGGCUCUAGCUCUUGGCAGCCGCUUCUUAUUUUUACUUCUUACUUCUUUCCGGCAGCAGGCGUGAAGAAAUUAAGACAUGGAAACUCGCCACAGCAACCACCACCAGGGAAGAGACAAUGAUCGGAGAAAAGCCCUUGCUCAACAUGGACAUAUUCCGACUGUAGAGCCUUCCUCCGGCCAAGAGGCCGAUCUGAGUACUCCAUCAUUCAAGCAAGCUCUUGUCGCCAAAGUCCUCGGCAAAAGGGUCGAAAGCCGGAGGCUUUCUAUUCGCCUUCAUCACCUGUGGCGUCCCGAGGGAAGAAUGGAAAUCGUACUUCUCGCCGGAGACUUCCUCUUGGUGAAGUUUUUUCUCCUUUCCGAUUACAACAAAGUUUUCGCCAGCAUCCCAUGGACCAUCGACGAUCACUAUAUCGUCCUUCAACAAUGGUUUCCUAACUUCAACCCUUCGGACGCCGCGAUCACCCAUGUCGCAGUUUGGGUCCGCCUCCCGAAGCUUCCAGAGGAGUGCUAUGAGGAAGAAACCCUGUUGAAAAUUGGAAAACUAAUCGGGGAAGAAGUUGUGAAGAUAGACCAUCAUACCAAAAGCCGAACAAAAUUUCAAUUUGCCCGGCUGUGCAUCUCGAUCGAUCUUCGCAACCCCGUUGUUCCUUUCAUAGUAAUCGGUGGAUUAUUGCAGCGGAUUCAAUACGAGGGGCUGGAUCUUUUGUGUUAUCAGUGCGGCCGAUAUGGCCAUCGACAGCAACACUGUCUAAACUUCCCUUCACUCCAUAAUCCUCCAUCUUCUCAGCCAGAAAUCCCGGAAGAACUCUCCUUUCUUGAGAAGACAUCAUUACAAAGGUUUCCCUCACUCUAUGGCCCUUGGCUUCAGUUUCGUCGUCGUGGAAACCAGCAUGUGAUGAUGAGAAGAACUGGAACGUUCCACAGAGAAGAGCAAGUCCAGCAGGUACAAAGAGGCAAUAAUAAUACAUUGAGGAGGCCUCUUGAUCUCCAACAUGGGGAGGGCACCAGCACAUCCAAAUCUGCAGAAAAUUCUUUGCCCGCGGCUGUUUCCCUUUACAGUAAAAGCCUCCCGUUCCAGCCAACUGCUCGUACUCCUUCCAAGCCGCCGCUGGGCUUCAUCAACGAGUUGCAUCAACCCCAAUCCCCAGCGGCAAUUGAGUUGUAUUCUCAGGUGUUGCAACUCUCGGUAGAGCAGUUUCAGAUUAUCAGUCCAGCUGUUGACUUGGAGAAACUCAUCGUCGAACGAAACAAUCCGAAAGUGGUCGCCAUCGAUUCAAAGAUUCCCAGACUUGACAUGGAAGUGAACAUGUCGGGAUUCUGUUAUUGGAACAUAAACCGGCACAACAUAUGCUUCAUACCUAAAAUGAUUGAUCACACGGAGUAUUCGAUCCAGAAGCCCCCAAAGAAACUUCUAAUUUGGAGUUGCCGUGGAGCUGGGGACGCCAGGUUCUUGCGUACUAUCAAGGAUCUCUGCCGGCAAUACCAGCCAUCCAUCGUACUUCUUUUGGAAACAAGGGCUUCCGCUAGCUACGGGGAUCAAGUUGCCGAGGAAAUUGGUUUUCCCCAUCCGUUUGUUACCGAUCCUGAAGGCUUCACCGGUGGGAUAUGGCUGUUGUGGCGCAAGGAUGAUCUUGAGAUGACGGUUUAUUCGGCUGGUCCGCACCAUAUUCAUUUGGGCGUUGAGUUUCCCAUGACUGAGACGUUGAUUUUCCAUGCACCAGAUGCUGGGACUGAACCUCAGUAUUCGAGGGUCUAUGGCGAAGAUUCCGAAGAUUGAUCACGAACUAGAAUCACAGAGGUUUGUAAUUUUGGGUUCAAAAUUGAAGGGUUAAUUUACAGAGGAUUCGCCGUCGUCUGUGGACAAGAAUCUGAACUGGAAAAGCAUGUCUGUUUGCUGUGUGGUUUGGUGAUAUUGGUUGGUUUAGGCAAAACCUAAAGUGUAUCUAUUACUAAUUAAGAGAGAGAAUGGUGUGGCAGUAGGAGUGCAAUUUUGUUCACCCCCGUUAAAGGGGGUGAACAAAAUCGCACUCUGGCAGUAGUACUCUAAGGAGAGUUGGGUCCUUUGGAUUCUAGAAUAAAUUUUGUUUUAUGUUUAAACAUGAAUAAUAUAUUAACCAAAAAAAUGAAGUAUAGUUUCAUAUAUACUAUUGCUGUCAAUGAUAAUUAGAGCCUAAACAAUCCGUAUCAAAUAUGUAAAUAAAAUUGUAAAACUAGGACUACUUUUAAUUAUUUCCCAGGCAUAGUGUAGGGAACUUUAUAUUGGGACACGCGAAUUAGGAUAUCAGUGUGAAAGUGGAGAUGGACCUAACCAACCAAUAGGCGAGGCUAAAUUUUUGUAGUAUAAUUAUUUUUGGGCUGAUUUGGUUUGACGAGUAAAUUAAUCAAUUAUCUGUGUAUUCUCAUAUAUGUUGGAGUAUGUUGUUCCUCAUUUCACAGUUUCAGAUGCAAAUACUUGUGUGAUAGAGACUCGAUGGAGAGAAGUCUAAA